rnacentral:rRNA from 1 species
UAAUCUGCGAUAAGCGCCGGUAAGGUGAUAUGAACCGUUAUAACCGGCGAUACCCGAAUGGGGAAACCCAGUGUGACUCGUCACACUAUCAUUAACUGAAUCCAUAGGUUAAUGAGGCGAACCGGGGGAACUGAAACAUCUAAGUACCCCGAGGAAAAGAAAUCAACCGAGAUUCCCCCAGUAGCGGCGAGCGAACGGGGAGGAGCCCAGAGCCUGAAUCAGCAUGUGUGUUAGUGGAAGCGUCUGGAAAGGCGCGCGAUACAGGGUGACAGCCCCGUACACAAAAGCGCAUGUGCUGUGAGCUCGAUGAGUAGGGCGGGACACGUGGUAUCCUGUCUGAAUAUGGGGGGACCAUCCUCCAAGGCUAAAUACUCCUGACUGACCGAUAGUGAACCAGUACCGUGAGGGAAAGGCGAAAAGAACCCCGGCGAGGGGAGUGAAAAAGAACCUGAAACCGUGUACGUACAAGCAGUGGGAGCACCCUUUGGGUGUGACUGCGUACCUUUUGUAUAAUGGGUCAGCGACUUAUAUUCUGUAGCAAGGUUAACCGAAUAGGGGAGCCGGAGGGAAACCGAGUCUUAACCGGGCGUUAAGUUGCAGGGUAUAGACCCGAAACCCGGUGAUCUAGCCAUGGGCAGGUUGAAGGUUGGGUAACACUAACUGGAGGACCGAACCGACUAAUGUUGAAAAAUUAGCGGAUGACCUGUGGCUGGGGGUGAAAGGCCAAUCAAACCGGGAGAUAGCUGGUUCUCCCCGAAAGCUAUUUAGGUAGCGCCUCGUGAAUUCAUCUCCGGGGGUAGAGCACUGUUUCGGCUAGGGGGCCAUCCCGGCUUACCAACCCGAUGCAAACUGCGAAUACCGGAGAAUGUUAUCACGGGAGACACACGGCGGGUGCUAACGUCCGUCGUGAAGAGGGAAACAACCCAGACCGCCAGCUAAGGUCCCAAAGUCAUGGUUAAGUGGGAAACGAUGUGGGAAGGCCCAGACAGCCAGGAUGUUGGCUUAGAAGCAGCCAUCAUUUAAAGAAAGCGUAAUAGCUCACUGGUCGAGUCGGCCUGCGCGGAAGAUGUAACGGGGCUAAACCAUGCACCGAAGCUGCGGCAGCGACACUGUGUGUUGUUGGGUAGGGGAGCGUUCUGUAAGCCUGUGAAGGUGUGUCGUGAGGCAUGCUGGAGGUAUCAGAAGUGCGAAUGCUGACAUAAGUAACGAUAAAGCGGGUGAAAAGCCCGCUCGCCGGAAGACCAAGGGUUCCUGUCCAACGUUAAUCGGGGCAGGGUGAGUCGACCCCUAAGGCGAGGCCGAAAGGCGUAGUCGAUGGGAAACGGGUUAAUAUUCCCGUACUUGGUGUUACUGCGAAGGGGGGACGGAGAAGGCUAUGUUGGCCGGGCGACGGUUGUCCCGGUUUAAGCGUGUAGGUGUGUGUUCCAGGUAAAUCCGGUUCACUUUAACACUGAGGCGUGACGACGAGGCACUACGGUGCUGAAGCAACAAAUGCCCUGCUUCCAGGAAAAGCCUCUAAGCAUCAGGUAACAUCAAAUCGUACCCCAAACCGACACAGGUGGUCAGGUAGAGAAUACCAAGGCGCUUGAGAGAACUCGGGUGAAGGAACUAGGCAAAAUGGUGCCGUAACUUCGGGAGAAGGCACGCUGACACGUAGGUGAAGUGAUUUACUCAUGGAGCUGAAGUCAGUCGAAGAUACCAGCUGGCUGCAACUGUUUAUUAAAAACACAGCACUGUGCAAACACGAAAGUGGACGUAUACGGUGUGACGCCUGCCCGGUGCCGGAAGGUUAAUUGAUGGGGUCAGCGCAAGCGAAGCUCCUGAUCGAAGCCCCGGUAAACGGCGGCCGUAACUAUAACGGUCCUAAGGUAGCGAAAUUCCUUGUCGGGUAAGUUCCGACCUGCACGAAUGGCGUAAUGAUGGCCAGGCUGUCUCCACCCGAGACUCAGUGAAAUUGAACUCGCUGUGAAGAUGCAGUGUACCCGCGGCAAGACGGAAAGACCCCGUGAACCUUUACUAUAGCUUGACACUGAACAUUGAGCCUUGAUGUGUAGGAUAGGUGGGAGGCUUUGAAGUGUGGACGCCAGUCUGCAUGGAGCCGACCUUGAAAUACCACCCUUUAAUGUUUGAUGUUCUAACGUGGACCCGUUACCCGGGUUGCGGACAGUGUCUGGUGGGUAGUUUGACUGGGGCGGUCUCCUCCUAAAGAGUAACGGAGGAGCACGAAGGUUGGCUAAUCCUGGUCGGACAUCAGGAGGUUAGUGCAAUGGCAUAAGCCAGCUUGACUGCGAGCGUGACGGCGCGAGCAGGUGCGAAAGCAGGUCAUAGUGAUCCGGUGGUUCUGAAUGGAAGGGCCAUCGCUCAACGGAUAAAAGGUACUCCGGGGAUAACAGGCUGAUACCGCCCAAGAGUUCAUAUCGACGGCGGUGUUUGGCACCUCGAUGUCGGCUCAUCACAUCCUGGGGCUGAAGUAGGUCCCAAGGGUAUGGCUGUUCGCCAUUUAAAGUGGUACGCGAGCUGGGUUUAGAACGUCGUGAGACAGUUCGGUCCCUAUCUGCCGUGGGCGCUGGAGAACUGAGGGGGGCUGCUCCUAGUACGAGAGGACCGGAGUGGACGCAUCACUGGUGUUCGGGUUGUCAUGCCAAUGGCACUGCCCGGUAGCUAAAUGCGGAAGAGAUAAGUGCUGAAAGCAUCUAAGCACGAAACUUGCCCCGA